AGUUAGGUAAGCUGGGGUAUCGGGCCUCUGCUAAAAAGGCUCAGUUAUGCCAGAUAGAAGUGACCUACCUAGGAUAUGUCUUGAGAGAUGGACAACGGUGGCUCACAGAAGCCAGAAAACAAGCUGUUAUGCAGAUCCCGGCCCCAACCACUGCUCGCCAGGUGCCGCAUCAGUUUGAAGUAAGAGACGCAGUCCUGGUGAGGAGACACCGAGCGGGAAACCUAGAACCGAGGUGGAAGGGACCCUACUUGGUGCUACUGACAACGCCCACCGCGGUCAAAGUGGAAGGAAUCCCCACUUGGGUCCACGCAUCCCACGUUAAGAGAGCACCCCCUGGAGUCAGCCAUGAUGAGUGGACUUUGGAGAAGACUACUAAUCCUUUUAAGUUGCGCCUGCUUCGUAGGAGCGAUCCCAAAAGACUUCAACCCCCACAGUCCUGUUCAACAAACGUGGGAGGUACUCAAUGAGGGGGGUAGGGCUGUAUGGACAAUCGCUGAGGUACACCCUCUGUAGACUUGGUGGCCUGAUCUUUUCCCUGACAUCUGUAAGUUGGCUAUAGGAGCCCCUCCUGGAUGGAACUUGGAGGGGUACUCUGACAUUCAGAGGGCACCUUUAACACCCCCUCCGUACGUAGAAAAACAUUCGAGAGACCCAUGGGGUGGUUGCUCUAACCAAAGGGAUAGAAGUAUGCUUCGAACCCAUCCCUUCUAUGUCUGCCCCGGGCCCCACCGAAGUCAGUCCCUCAAUCCAACGUGUGGAGGUAAGGCUGACUUCUUUUGUAAGAGCUGGGGUUGCGAGACUUCAGGUACAGCCCGCUGGAAGCCCUCCUCGAGCUGGGACUAUAUUAGAGUAACAGCCAACUAUUCCCUAGCGUCUUAUGUACCUGGAGGAUUUGACCUAGACGAGUGUACUGACUGGUGCCAUCCGCUCCGUGUCACCUUCACUGAACCAGGGAAGAGAGCUCUGGGAUGGACAAAAGGGUAUACCUGGGGUCUUAGGAUUUACAAGGAAAGAUAUGAUGAGGGAUUAUUGUUCACUAUCAGAUUAAAAAUAGAGACCCCCUACAAUCCUUUAGGCCCCCCAACCAAGUUCACACCCCUCACCCAUACAAUUACUCAGCCUACUCCAGUGAUUGCGGACCCCCUUAAUAUGGCCGCUAUCACCCAACCUCCCACUCCUCAGGUACCUCUAACUAUUACCCCCGAGAUUCCUUCAAGACAGAGGAUGUUUAACCUAGUGAGAGGAGCCUUUUAUGCCCUUAACAGAACUGAUCCAAGCGCUACUGAGGACUGCUGGCUAUGCCUGUCCUCGGGUCCGCCUUAUUAUGAAGGAAUCGCCUUCAAUGGAGAUUUCAACAGAACCAGCAGCCAUACUUCCUGCUCUUGGGGUACAGGACAAAAACUGACCCUGACUGAAGUAUCCGCGAGGAAUCCAGGUCUCUGUAUAGGUACCCCACCUUCCACUCACAAACACCUAUGCGGACAAAUUCAGUCCGUGUCCAGAACGGAAGCUGAUUACUAUCUUGUACCUUCCCCGGUUGGAUGGUGGGCUUGCAAUACAGGACUUACUCCCUGUGUAUCAACUAAGGUUUUUAAUUCAUCUCAUGAUUUUUGUGUCAUGAUCCAGCUGUUACCCCGUGUAUAUUAUCACCCUGCAUCCAGUUUAGAAGAAAGCUAUGCGGGCCGGCGGUCAAAAAGAGAACCAAUUACUUUAACCCUGGCUGCAUUCAUGGGAAUAGGUAUGGCAGUAGGAGUGGGGACGGGAGUGUCAGCUUUAAUAGAAGGAAGACAGGGAAUUCAGUCUUUGAGGGAUGCUGUCAAUGAAGACCUAGCGGCAAUAGAGAAGUCCAUAGACGCUUUAGAAAAAUCUUUGACCUCCCUGUCUGAGGUAGUUUUACAGAACAGGAGAGGUCUUGAUUUGUUGUUCCUAAAGGAAGGAAGACUGUGUGCUGCCCUUAAAGAAGAGUGCUGCUUCUAUGCAGAUCAUACAGGAAUAGUUAGAGACUCUAUGCAGAAACUGAGAGAAAGAUUAGAGCGAAGGAAACGGGAACGGGAUGCUCAAUGGGGGUGGUUUGAGUCGUGGUUUGAAUCACGACCAUCUUGGAUAACUUCUUUAAUUUCCGCUGUAGCCGGACCAAUCCUUAUGAUAUGCUUAGCUUUAGUUUUCGGCCCUUGUAUAAUAAAUAGAGGAAUGGCUUUCAUCCAGAGUAAAAUUGAUACAGUAAAACUCAUGGUUCUUCAAAGGCAAUAUCAACCUAUAGUUCAGGUAGAUGAAGAGUUAAGGGACACCGACCUCUAAAAUUCUAUGAUUAGAAUUAGUCUAAACAGAAGAAGAGGGGAAUGAAAGGAAAUAAAACUGUAAUUCAUGUAAUGUAUGUUAAAUAGCCCAAAGAGUUGUUUCUGAGCUUUAAAACCUGGGGCUGAGAACAUAGCAGAACAGACCAGGACAUGCCCGGGCAAGCCCAUCGCCUCCCUAGCUCCCACCCCUCUGACCUAAGUUAAAUGUUACAGGCUGCUGAUGUUUAAAUGGACCAAUCAUGUGAAACCGCGCCAAUUCCUCCCCCAGCCCCACUCCUUUUCUAUAAAACCCCCUAGCUUCCAAGCCUCGUGGUCGAAUCCACUGUCUCCUGUUGUGUGAGAUACGUUUCGACCCGGAGCUCUG
rnacentral:lncRNA from 1 species